GUUCCGACACCAUCGACAACGUUAAGGCCAAGAUUCAAGACAAGGAAGGCAUCCCACCUGACCAACAGCGUUUGAUCUUCGCUGGCAAACAAUUGGAAGAUGGGAGGACCUUGGCUGAUUAUAAUAUCCAAAAGGAAUCCACCCUUCACCUUGUUUUGAGGCUUCGUGGAGGGAUGCAGAUUUUUGUCAAGACUUUGACCGGCAAAACAAUCACCUUGGAGGUUGAAAGCUCCGAUACCAUUGACAAUGUUAAGGCAAAGAUUCAGGAUAAGGAAGGAAUCCCACCUGAUCAGCAAAGGCUCAUCUUUGCCGGCAAACAAUUGGAAGAUGGGAGGACUUUGGCUGAUUAUAACAUUCAGAAAGAGUCUACCCUUCACCUUGUUCUUCGUCUCCGUGGUGGCCACUGAUUAUUCUAACACAACCAUCUUGCCUUGGUUUCAAGUUUUAAAGUGCUCGUGUGUCUUUCUAACUUGGAUUUCUGGGUCUUGUCCCCUUUGUAAUACUUUUACUUCUCCUCUGGA
rnacentral:lncRNA from 1 species